CCUGGUUGAUCCUGCCAGUAGUCAUAUGCUUGUCUCAAAGAUUAAGCCAUGCAUUUCUAAGUAUGAACUAAUUCAGACUGUGAAACUGCGAAUGUCUCAUUAAAUCAGUUAUAGUUUUUUUUAUGGUACCAUACUACUCAGAUAACCAUAGUAAUUCUAGAGCUAAUACGCGCACCAAGUCCUGACUCUUUGGAAGGGAUGCAUUUUUUAGAUAAAAGGCUGCGCGGGCUUGCCUGCUUCUCUAGUGAGUCAUGAUAACUCAACAUCGCACAGCCCUUGUGUUGGCAAUGCUUCAUUCAAAUUUCUGCCUUAUCAACUUUUGGUGGUAGGAUAGAGGCCUACCAUGGUGGUGAUGGGUGAUGGAGAAUUAGGGUUCGAUUCUAGAGAGGGAGCCUGAGAAAUGGCUACAACAUCCAAGGAAGGUAGCAGGCGUGCAAAUUACCCAAUCCUGACAUGGGGAGAUAGUGACAAUAAAUAUCAAUACUGGACUCAUUGAGUCUGGUAAUUGGAAUGAGUACAAUCUAAAUUCCUUAACAAGGAUCCAUUGGAGGGAAGUUUGAUGCCAGUAGCCAUGGUAAUUCUAGCUCCAAUAGCAUAUAUUUAAGUUGUUGCAGUUAAAAAGAUCGUAGUUGGAUCUUGGGUCGUAAAGGUCGGUCCGCCUACUCGGUGUGCACCUGCCCUUCCAUCCAUUUUGUCGGCAGUGUGCUCCUAGCCUUAUUUGGCUUGGUCGUGGCUCCAACACUGUUACUUUGAAAAAAUUAGAGUGCUCAAAGCAAGCUUAUGUUCUGAAUACAUUAGCAUGGAACAACAUGAUAGGAGUCUGGUCCUAUUGUGUUGGCCUUUGGGACCGGAGUAAUGAUUAAUAAGGAUUGUUGGGGGUAUCAUAUUUCAUUGUCAGAGGUGAAAUUAUUGGAUUUAUGAAAUACGGACCACUGCGAAAGCAUUUGCCAAAGAUGUUUUCAUUAAUCAAGAACAAAAGUUGGGGGCUCGAAGACGAUCAGAUACCAUCCUAAUCAAAACCAUAAACGAUGCCAACUAGGGAUCGAUGGAUGUUGCUCUAAGGACUCCGCCAGCACCUUUUGAGAAAUCAGAGUGUUUGGGUUCCGGGGGGAGUAUGGUCACAAGGCUGAAACUUAAAGGAAUUGAUGGAAGGGCACCAACAGGAGUGGAGCCUGCGGCUUAAUUUGAAUCAACACAGAGAAACUUACCAGGUCCAGACAUAGUAAGGGCUGAUAGUUUGAGAGCUCUUUCUUGAUUCUAUGGGUGGUGGUGCAUGGCUGUUCUUAGUUGGUGGAGUGAUCUGUUUGGUUAAUUUCGAUAACGAACAAGACCUUAGCCUACUAACUAGCUACGCAGAGGUUCCCCUUUGCGGCCAGCUUCAUAGAGGGACUAUGGCCAUUUAGGCCAUGCUUGUGCUUGUUCCACCCAUCCUUUGUUCUUCUUUCCCCCAAUGUGUUUUUGCGGAGGGUUCAGAAGCCUGUUUCUUGGGAGCCCUUCCGACGAUCUAUUCGGCCGAGCAUGGUUGCUACAAUAGAGGUGCUCGGGAAAUACGAUGGAUAAAUUCAGACUCAUUCGGAGCGGC
rnacentral:rRNA from 1 species